GGGGAAUAUUGGACAAUGGAGGAGACUCUGAUCCAGCAAUUCUGUGUGCACGAAGACGGUUUUCGGAUUGUAAAGUGCUUUCAGCAGGGAAGAAGAAAGUGACGGUACCUGCAGAAGAAGCGACGGCUAAAUACGUGCCAGCAGCCGCGGUAAUACGUAUGUCGCGAGCGUUAUCCGGAAUUAUUGGGCAUAAAGGGCAUCUAGGCGGAUAUACAAGUCAGGGGUGAAAACUUAGGGCUCAACUCAAAGCUUGCCUUUGAAACUGUAUAUCUAGAGUGCUGGAGAGGUGGACGGAACUACACGAGUAGAGGUGAAAUUCGUAGAUAUGUGUAGGAAUGCCGAUGAUGAAGAUAGUCCACUGGACAGCAACUGACGCUGAAGUGCGAAAGCUAGGGGAGCAAACAGGAUUAGAUACCCUGGUAGUCCUAGCUGUAAACGAUGAUUACUGGGUGUGGGCAUGAAGAGUGUCUGUGCCGAAGCUAAUGCGAUAAGUAAUCCGCCUGGGGAGUACGACCGCAAGGUUG
rnacentral:rRNA from 1 species